CAGUAGCCGCGGUAAUACGAAGGGUGCAAGCGUUAAUCGGAAUUACUGGGCGUAAAGCGUGCGUAGGCGGUUUGUUAAGUCUGUUGUGAAAUCCCCGGGCUCAACCUGGGAAUGGCAAUGGAUACUGGCAAGCUAGAGUGUGUCAGAGGAUGGUGGAAUUCCCGGUGUAGCGGUGAAAUGCGUAGAGAUCGGGAGGAACAUCAGUGGCGAAGGCGGCCAUCUGGGACAACACUGACGCUGAGGCACGAAAGCGUGGGGAGCAAACAGGAUUAGAUACCCGCGUAGUCCCUGUCUCUUAUAA
rnacentral:rRNA from 1 species